CGCGUGAGCAACCUGCCCUUGACAUUGGAAUAACAGUUGGAAACAGCUGCUAAUACCGGGUAUGACCUGUCACCGCAUGGUGGUGGGUGGAAAGCCUUGGCGGUCAAGGAUGGGCUCGCGGCCUAUCAGCUAGUUGGUGAGGUAAUGGCUCACCAAGGCUUCGACGGGUAGCCGGCCUGAGAGGGCGACCGGCCACACUGGGACUGAGAUACGGCCCAG
rnacentral:rRNA from 1 species